GACGAACGCUGGCGGCAGGCUUAACACAUGCAAGUCGAGCGCCCCCGCAAGGGGAGCGGCGGACGGGUGAGUAACGCGUGGGAAUCUGCCCUUUGGUGUGGGACAACCACGGGAAACUGUGGCUAAUACCGCAUGAGCCCGAGAGGGGAAAGCCGCAAGGCGCCGAGGGAUGAGCCCGCGUCGGAUUAGCUAGUUGGUAGGGUAACGGCCUACCAAGGCGAUGAUCCGUAGCUGGUCNGAGAGGAUGAUCAGCCACACUGGGACUGAGACACGGCCCAGACUCCUACGGGAGGCAGCAGUGGGGAAUAUUGGACAAUGGGGGAAACCCUGAUCCAGCCAUGCCGCGUGAGUGAUGAA
rnacentral:rRNA from 1 species